CGAACGGCCGCAAAUUCAUUGAGUAGUUGCGUUUCUUGAUGCGUUAUUCGUCUCCGUCAAAGACUGCUCAAAUAGGAGCGGUUUUGUGUAUCAACCACAGCAGAUAACAUGUUCCUCAAUUUUAUUUCAUAAUCAAAAUUGGGUUAAGCCAGGGCCAUUAAUCUUCAUUUUCGUGUGAACCCAAAGGGAGACAAAGGCUCCAAUCACCUGUUUCAAGACUCCUUGCCGCCGUAUACGUUCCGUCCACCAGCUGCAGCCACUACAUCCUUCUUCAUCACGGAUCUGCUCAAGCUCCCGCAUAACUCCCGCGCGUGAAAGAAAGGUGGAGAGGCACGUCCGUUGUUCGUCCCUCUGCUGUGGAAGUCCCGGUGUCGUCGUGUGGCUUCCCAACCUUCCCGGUGUCAUCGUCCUCAACCUUCCCCCUUGCUCUGUUGUGCGCCGCUUGAACCCACCCUCUCUCUACUUCCUGGUUAUGGAGGAGCUUAUAAGAACCAACAGGGAGAACUCUUCGACAGAAUUAGUUCACUUUGAUGAGUAAGUUGUUCUCCUUUUUAGAGCCAGAUCACUCUCAUGGCAAUUUACUUGUUGGAUAUUUUUGCAAGGUAUUUUCUGGAUGAAAUUGAGGGAGCUGAGCAAAAAUCUGAUCCAGGCUGAAAAAGGACUGCUGAUGUUGUUGGAUUCUGACCUCCUUGCACUCGGAAUAGAUUUUUUGGAGCUACAGAAGUCCAAUUGGUGCACUCUCAACUGGGUUGGAAAGUAGACAUCCAGGACUUUCCAGCAAUAUAUAAUAUUCUAUACUGGCAUUAAACGACAGAAACAGGUUACCAGUUGGAGUUAAACGCCCAAAACAGGUUACAACCUGUUGUUUAACUCCAGAAACAGCCCAGGCACGUGAAAAGCUCAAGUCUUAGCCCCAAUACACACCAAGUGGGCCCCAGAAGUGGGUUUCUGCACUAUCUAUCUUAGUUUACUCAUUUUCUGUAAACCUGGGUUACUAGUUUAGUAUUUAAACAACUUUUAGAGACUUAUUUUGUACCUCAUGACAUUUUAGAUCUGAACUUUGUACUUUUUGACGGCAUGAGUCUCUAAACUCCAUUGUCGGGAGUGAGGAGCUCUGCAGCGUCUCGAUGAAUUAAUGCAAUUAUUUCUGUUUUCUAUUCAAACAUGCUUGUUUCUCUCUAAGAUAUUCAUUCGCACUUCAAUACGAUGAAUGUGAUGAUCCGUGACACUCAUCACUAUUCUCAAUCUAUGAACGUAUGCCUGACAACCACCUCCGUUCUACCCUCG